AAUAUCAUUUUCAAUUAAAAAAAAAUUCACAUUUUUUUUGGAAUUUUAUCAUUUUUAUGUCCAAACGCCCACUUAGUCUCCAUGCACGGCCAUGGAUUUCACUUACAAAAAUCAUCACACGGUCUCAAAUAACCGGCCACCACAAAUAAAUAUCGUAUUAUUAGAUUUGAAAAAAAAAAAAGAAGCAAAAAUAAGGAGAUGGGUUCUCACUGAAAAUUUGAGCUUUGGGUCUUUGUUCCUAUGAGGUCCUGAUGGUGAACAAUUCCCUUUAAAAAAAUUGAUGGUUUCAAAUAAUCUCUUUUUUAUGCUUGAAUUUGUAUACACUCGUAUUACUAAUCAAUCUUGUCAAUGAAAAAAGCAAAGAAAAGUAUUCUCGUUACGUGUUCUGAAAAAGUGGGGGAAGAAUGGGUUUAAGAGAGGAAAAGGGGUCUGAUUUCCCCUCAACAUUUCUCUUUACGUGUUCUCUUCUCAUUGGUUUACUUGCCACGUCAAGAGCAAGUGAUUUACCCACCAUUUUGUUUGUUGGGAGUAGUGCUGUCAAAAUGAGACCAUAUUUUAUAUACCCUUCUAAUUUUAAGUAAGGUAAAAUUUGGGCUUCAAUUCAUAUUUAAUCCGUAGAAAUUCGAAUAUUUAUGGGUAAAAUAUGGGUAAAAUAUGAGUUAGCCUAAUAGGUUAUUUUUUAACUUUUGCUCAAUCAAAAUACAUGAUAUCAUUUUUGAAAUCGAAAAUACUAUAAAGGUAUUCCAACCCCUCUUCCUCGUAUGUUUUUUUGGAUCUUAUAUAUAUCGUAGAAUGAAGUACCACAUGUGUGGAUAUAUAUAUGAAUCCAAAUCUGUCGAAUCACUCAUGUUAUGAUCUUCUACAUCCUGGGUCGUCCCAUUGUCGUUUUACAGCACGAAAUUACCUGAUGUUCGCUACUAAUAAGGGCGGGGAGACGUUAACCUUUCGCUAUUAGUAAGCACUCCCCUAGUUUUGACCUAAUGAGCUUUCUUUACGUUGAGUUAAUUAACCCGAUGGGUUCGCCUAGAUGCCUAGAUAAGAACGAGCUGGUGGGAAAGAGCUGGAGAUCAUGAAUAAUAUUUUCUCACUAUAAUCGACUAUGUGCAUACUCGAAUACCAAAUAUAAUUUAUGAAGCAGAAGCAGAAGCAGAUUUGUAUAGUUUUCCAUUUGUUCUUGAAGAGUACAUUGUUAAGAAAGAGAAUAUUUUUUCCCACCUGUACUACAUCAUUUAAAGAGAUACACAAGAGUACAUUAAGAA